GUACCGACCAACAGCUAGCAAAAAAGACGAGUGAGUGGCAGACAAGGAAGACCUUGGUUCAAAGACCGUACAAAUUAAUCACGCAAACCCACUCAGCAAAAGCAUGUGACAAGAUUCUUAAUUAUCACUAUGCGGUCCUUUUGCUCGAUCGAGUUUUUAGUUUUUACCAAUCACAAUACUUCAUAGCCUAUAGCUUUUCCCUUAAGAAGUCGCACCAAGUCCAUACAGGUCGAUCGGUGGGAAAGGCUUGAUAAGCUUGAUCAAAUGCAGAGCUGCUGGUUACCGGAGCAAGAGAAGUUGAGAGUUUGUCAGUGGGUUGCACGGACAUGGGAAUGAAGGGAGUGAGAAAGUUAAGUCGAAAGAUCUUUAAAAAGAUUUGCAAACGUGAUGGAGAUCUUUGGAGAUAUUACGAGGACGCUUGCAAGAAUGAAGAAGAUUUCCUAACUGAACUGGGGAAGUUCCUAGAGUCGUAUGAAUAAUGUUUGAUUCAAAUUACGAAGGUGGGAAACAACGACGGAGGAAUUGAUGAUGGUUACAUGAGGGUUUUGGAGAAAUUGAAGAAUGUCAAGGGGGCCUCAGGUAGAGUCCAUGAUCAGCAUUUUGCAGAACAAAUGUUGCUCGAAAAUGUUAAAUGUUUGAUGAAGCGGCGAGAAGAUUUGCAUGAAGAAUUGAUUAGCCAAAAAGGAAAGCCUCGCAAGAAGUAUGAUUGUACUCGUGCUUGGAGACGCUGUUUGAGGAUGGUCACUAAUAUAUUGUUCAUUGGUGCUGCAGCUGCUGAGUUUGCCUGCACAAUUGUGGCAGCAGUUAUGGCUGCUCCACUUGUUGCACUGGCCAUUGCUGCUACUAUUAUCCCUGUAAGAAACAAUUAUUUCUGACCAUGUAAAUACUUGAACGGAUAGCAACUCAGACAAUCAAAUCUGCAACAAUAUUUAUCAGAAUCUGUUGUGCAAGUUAUGCAGAUAUAAAUGAGUAUAUGAAUCAUGAUGAAUUCUAACCUCA